rnacentral:rRNA from 1 species
UACGUAGGUGGCAAGCGUUGUCCGGAUUUACUGGGCGUAAAGAGCGCGCAGGCGGCUGGUCAAGUCCGAUGUGAAAUCUCCCGGCUCAACUGGGAAACUGCAUCGGAAACUGAUCGGCUUGAAGGUGGGAGAGGGCAGUGGAAUUCCCGGUGUAGUGGUGAAAUGCGUAGAUAUCGGGAGGAACACCAGUGGCGAAGGCGACUGCCUGGCCCAUUCUUGACGCUGAGGCGCGAAAGCUAGGGGAGCGAAC